GAGGAGGAGGAAGAGGAGGAGGAAGAGGAGGAGGAGGAGGAAGAGGAGGAAGAGGAGGAGGAAGAGGAGGAGGAGGAGGAAGAGGAGGAGUUCAUCUGAGGAAUGCAGCUCGUCUGCAUGACAAGUGAUGCAGCUGUGAGAGUUGUGGGAGGUGAUUCCUCCGUCUUCCUCCUUCGUCUCUACUUUUAAAACUGAAUCUAAUUUGCACUUUGAGAUUUUGCUCUUCAAUGUGAAGUCAGAGCAAAAACAAUGUCACAUUUCUCUUUUUCUUUUGCUCAUGAAAUUGGAAAUACAAACUUUUCACCUGUUUUUGUCAGCGUCUGUUCAUCAGCGAGUCGCGUUGUGAUAAAACUACAGGAGCGAUUUCCGAGACAUUUUGAGGGAGGGGCGGGGCAACGACCCGAGGACGAACCAGGAUCCAGGAUUCUUUCUUCACUUCCUCCAACAUGGCGAGGAGAGGGGACGUUCCCUCCGAGGGCCCUUCUACUUAUUGUUCUCAAAAUGUAUUUCAUCUGUACAAGUUGAAACCCUGAACAUCGCACUCUUACUUUACACAUAGUGAAACUUUCUUCUUCUUUCUUUGCCUCAGUUUCUCUAUGAACAGUGAUGUCACCGUGAAACCGGGCCCCUCCCACCAUGAGCAACGAGCAGCGACUCCGCCUUAUCUACAGCAUUAUCUUGACUUCAGGCGAGUGACCAAUGGGAAGCCUCUCGUCCCUUUGGCCUGUAUUGAUUGGAGACUUCAUGAGCUUUGGGCGCCCCCUUGUGGCUGUUCACUCAAGUGGCAACAGGAUGAAAAGCUCCUGAACAGUUUUCCAGUCAACUUGGUGGAAGGACGGAACAUACAGCUAGAAAUAAUCCUUGACAUGUUGGUGUGGAUCUGGACAAAGGGGCGGGGCCAGGAGUCUGAUCUCUUUCUUUAACAUUGUGAGGUUAUUUAACAUGUUCACUGAUUUCACAAUUAAAACAACUCAUCCUUGU